AGGCAGUCCCGAAACCAGCAAAAUCAGGGAGCUGGACAGGGGACAGAAUGUAUUUGUCUUCAGUUUGGAAGGGAUUGUUUAGACCAGUGGCGAAUGAAACCACUGGGGAGGAUAUAUCAGGGAUCUCCUGCCAACUGUCCUCAGACUAUAGAAGCUACGUAUUUGGCUAAAGAGUUGCAUCAUUUCUAAGAAAUAGAAACAUAAAAUUAUGAGGAAGAGCAUGGUCACGUGGUGAAACUGUAAUCUACUUCAUUCCUUCAUAAUUGGGUGCACAAGGAUCUGAAACGUGAUAUUUAGUGGAAGGAGGGUUACACAGCUGUCUCCUGCUGAGAAGGAUCCUGCCUGCAGCCUUCGAGAAGGACGGAUAUUUUCGACCAUAGAACUUGCUCUUGGGAAUUAUCUCUUGCACUGUGCCUUUUCAUCAUCAUGAAGUCUUUCCUGGGAAUCUUCCUUGUCUCUGUGCUUUUGACAACAGGUGCCUCUUUGAAGUGUGAAACUUGUAUUGGUAUCAACACAAACUGCAGUGGCCAUUACGAGACUUGUCAAGCUGGCCAAGAUAUCUGUGCCACUUUUACUAAAGAAACCACAAUCGGAGGCGUGACUAGCUUUUCAGUUGCGAAGGGCUGUUCUUCAAAGGCUAUAUGUAACUCUAGACUACGUGAUGUUAGCCUGGAGGGAGAUGUGACCAAUAUAAAAAUGGAAUGCACUGAUGGGGCUCCUCCAGUGAUGCCUUCCAUCUUCCUGACUCUUUCUGGGCUUCUGCUGAUGAAACUCCUUCCGUAAUGAAUUCUUUGCAGCCACACAGAAGAGAAGGGGGCUUCCACGAAUCAUCUACAAUGCGUUUUAUGCUGAACGAGUGGUCUUCCAUAGAAGGAUUCAUUGUCAUCUUUGAAUUCUCAGUAAAACAAUUUAAAAACACACACACGGUACUGGGAAUAGGACUGAAAUUUAAUCUUUGUUUGGUUUCAGUUACUCUUUCUGUUCACGGAUGGGGCAAAUAGGGGCAUAUCGUUGUUUCGCUAUGUCACUUCCUUCAUUGAACAAAAUCAGAAGGAGAAAGUCACCACGUCCUGCUGAACGAUGGCUGUGGGGUCAAGGCAGGGAAUGGGGACUGGAAGAGGGUUGUCAUCCAUCGGAACGGGGGAAAAUUGGAGCGAUCUUUGGUUUCAUUUACUCUUUCUGUACAAGGAUGGGAGGGGAGGAAACAGUGAAUACAUUUUACACACACACACACCCCUUCCUGCCAAACAUGAUUAUCUAGAUCAGAGGCAUAAAACUUGACGUCUUAAAAAUGCUUUGAGCUACUAAUCCCACAAUUUCUUACCAUGGGUCUUUCUGGCAGUGGGUGAUGUGUGCAAACGUGCUCUGCUUGAAGACAGCCUUAUGUGAUAUAAAAUUAUCAUUCCUGUGUCACUUGGCCGUGAAAAGACAGUGGCAUAAACCAUGAAAAUAAAAUUUUCAUGCCACAAUGCCUCUAACA
rnacentral:lncRNA from 1 species